rnacentral:rRNA from 1 species
CAGGCCUAACACAUGCAAGUCGGACGAGGGACUCACCCUCGGGUGGGAACCUAGUGGCGAACGGGUGAGUAACACGUAGGAAUCUACCCAGUUGAUCGGCAUAACACUCUUAACGGAGUGCUAAUUCCGAAUAAGACCUAAGGGUGAAAGAGGGGGAUCUUUGGACCUCUCGCGAUUGGAGGAGCCUGCGGUGGAUUAGCUUGUUGGCGGGGUAAUGGCCCACCAAGGCGACGAUCCAUAGCUGGUUUGAGAGGAUGAUCAGCCACACUGGAACUGAGACACGGUCCAGACUAUUACGAUAGGCAGCAGUAGGGAAUCUUGCGCAAUGGGCGAAAGCUUGACGCAGCCAUGCCGCGUGUGCGACGAAGGCCUUUGGGUUGUAAAGCACUUUCAACGGCUAAGAGAGCCGGCGUGUUAAUAGCAUGCCGGGUAGACGUUAACCGUAAAAGAAGCACCGGCUAACUCCGUGCCAGCAGUCGCGGUAAUACGGAGGGUGCGAACGUUAAUCGGAAUUACUGGGCGUAAAGCGCACGUAGGCGGUUUGUUAAGUGGGAUGUGAAAGCCCCGGGCUUAACCUGGGAAUUGCAUUUCAAACUAGCAAACUAGAGUGUAGUAGAGGGGGGUGGAAUUCCUCGAGUA